rnacentral:rRNA from 1 species
UGCCAGCAGCCGCGGUAAUACGAAGGGUGCUAGCGUUGUUCGGAAUUAUUGGGCGUAAAGCGUUCGAAGGCGGGAAGGUAGGUCUGAUGUUAAAUACCCACGGCUCAACCGGGGUGCCGCAUUGGAAACCACUUUUCUAGAGAAAAGCAGAGGCAAGUAGAAUUUCCAUUGUAGGGGUUAAAUCCGUAGAUAAUGGAAGGAAUACUAAAAGCGAAUGCAUCUUGCUGGGCUUUUUCUGACGCUGCACGAACGAAAGCGUGGGGAGCGAAAGGGAUUAGAUA